GGGAAAAGAAACUUGUAAUGAAUUGUGCCAAAAUGAUUGUUCAUAUUGCAAAAUAAUUCUAAGAUAUUAAUUGAAUAGAAUGUAUUAAGUGCAUCUAAAAGAAAGGGAUAUGGGGACACCUACAGGUGACUAAGGAAACCUAUCAGUGGAAUCGGCCAUUUUCUCCUCAGUCGCAUGAAAGCCGUUGAGGAGAAUGUUAUGAGACCGGAUGAGCUGUAUUUCAUGUCUGUUUGGUGUCAUUUCAUAUAUUCCAGUAAAUGCGAUGAGUGAGCUCAGCCUACGUCUCCGUGUUGUCCUUUCCGGAAGGGUCGAAAGAAAGAACCAGAAAAGUGGGGUUACAUAUGCAGGGUC